rnacentral:rRNA from 1 species
CCUACGGGAGGCAGCAGUGGGGAAUAUUGCACAAUGGGGGAAACCCUGAUGCAGCGACGCCGCGUGUGGGAAGACGGUCCUCUGGAUUGUAAACCACUGUCCCCAGGGACGAAGAUGACGGUACCUGGGGAGGAAGCGCCGGCUAACUACGUGCCAGCAGCCGCGGUAAGACGUAGGGAGCAAGCGUUUUCCGGAAUUACUGGGUGUAAAGGGAGCGUAGGCGGGUUGGCAAGUUGGGUGUAAAAUCUACCGGCUCAACUGGUAGUCGCACUUAAAACUGCUAUUCUUGGGUGAAGUAGAGGCAGGCGGAAUUCGUAGUGUAGCGGUGAAAUGCGUAGAUAUUAGGCGGAACACCAGUGGCGAAGGCGGCAUGCUGGGCUUUUACUGACGCUGAGGCUCGAAAGUGUGGGGAGCAAACAGGAUUAGAUACCCGUGUAGUC